CGGUUGGAUUGUGAAGAUGCUUUAGACACAGACACGCUCAGCCUGAGGACUGCUGGUCUGGAUACUCACAACAGAGACAUAGAGCCAUAAACAGUGACUUCCCUGUUAAAGACCCACUUACAGACUGCUGCUGCUGAGUUUGACAGCAGAGAAAAUGAAAGCUCGGAUUGUGUUCCUGCUCUUUGCGCUGGUGGCUGGGCUUCAAGCGAUGCCAACUGUUCCCCACGAGGACCGGCGAGUUAUUCCAGAGGAAGUAGCCAUACAGCACAUCAUGGAGGCUGAUUUGACGGACUUGAGGCCAGCCACAACAACAAUGAAAUCUCCGAGGAUAUGAAAGGAAAGAUGACCAUCCAUGAGAGGAAAGGGGAACAAACUGUUUAAGCCAAAAGAGGAUGAAUAAAUAAG